rnacentral:lncRNA from 1 species
GCUUGUUUUAGGGAUGGCAACUCAGCUAUCCAGUUGGAUUUUUUUUCAAUUUUUUGCCAAACUACAUCUUGUGAAAUUUCCCCAUUUUCAUUUAAAAUAUCAUUUAUAUAAAUAUAAGUACCUUUUAUCCAAUUUUUGAAAAAAAAAAUUUGUUAUUAAAUUUAAUGUAUUUAUUCCCCCAAAUAAUUUGUUUUCUAAUAUCGUAAAAGGUUUUUGGUAUAUCUGUCUGUCCUCCUCCUAAUUUCAUCCAGCUUUUUAAUACAUUUUUAUAAAAUUUUGGAAUAUUAGGUAGAUAUUGAUCAACUUUAUUAUAAUCCAUAUUCAUAUAAACUGCUAGGCAAUUUUUUUCCUGAGCAUUGUAAAUAAUUUAAAGGUAUAAGUUGCCAUCUGGCCAUAUCUGUAUUUAAGAUUCUACCUAUCCAUGAUGCUUUAAGUGAUUCAAAGUGACUUUCA